CGGAAGCCAGCUGAAUGAGCAAGAUCAUGACACAGCUUUAGGGAACGUGAAGAGGUAAAAAGCAGAGAACCUCAGGAAAAUACCAAGAAGAUCCUUACUGCUUGGCCUGGGGUGUAGACAGGACUCCAAGCUAAAUGGCAUUACCAAACUUCCACUGUAAGGGGCUUAACCAAUGGCAUGUAGAGCAAUAGAGGGAGGCCAUGGAGACCCUAAGAGAUGGACUUUAACCACUGUCCAGUCUACAAA